AGAUACCCGGGUAGUCCACACCGUAAACGAUGAAUGCCAGUCGUCGGGCAGUAUACUGUUCGGUGACACACCUAACGGAUUAAGCAUUCCGCCUGGGGAGUACGGUCGCAAGAUUAAAACUCAAAGGAAUUGACGGGGGCCCGCACAAGCGGUGGAGCAUGUGGUUUAAUUCGAUGCAACGCGAAGAACCUUACCUACUCUUGACAUCUUCGGAAGAUCUUGUAAUGAGAUUGUGCCUUCGGGAACCGGAUGACAGGUGCUGCAUGGCCGCCGUCAG
rnacentral:rRNA from 1 species